AAUCAACGCUGGCGGCGUGCCUCAGACAUGCAAGUCGAACGAUUAAAGCUCUCUUCGGAGAGUGUAUAGAGUGGCGCACGGGUGAGUAACACGUAAGUAAUCUACCUUUGAGUGGGGAAUAACCCGGGGAAACCCGAGCUAAUACCGCAUAAUGCAGCGGCACCGCAAGGUGACAGUUGUUAAAGGAGCAAUCCGCUUAAAGAGGAGCUUGCGGCAGAUUAGCUAGUGGUAAGGUAAUGGCUUACCAAGGCUUCGAUCUGUAUCCGGCCUGAGAGGGCGGUCGGACACACUGA
rnacentral:rRNA from 1 species